AUUUUAGAUUAAUAAAUUCCAGGCGGUGAUCAACUCAACAAUAACACCUAAUAUGACUUUUACCCAGACAUCACAAAAGUUCGGUCAAUGGAGUGACGUACGAGCGAAUACCGUCUACGGCCUGGGAUUUUCGUCGGAAGCUGAGCUAGGGAAGUUUAUAGAGAAAUUCCAGGAAGUAAAAGAGGCUACAAAAAAUGCACUUAACAAGGCUUCUGCUAAUGAAAAUUCAACAGUUACUUCCGCAAAUGCAUCCCCUGUUACAGCACGUUCUUCAAUGUCAAACAGUGACAGCUUCGACCCCAACAACGUUGAUGUUCCGAUUCCCGCAACUGGUAAUGUUUCCUCGAAUAUCAACACUGAGAGUCCUUCCCAUCCUACUAUCAAUGAUGCUCUCAUCAAUACGAAUCCUCUCAGUAUCGAACUUAAACAGACAUCUAUAAACUCAUCAUCUAGCGAUGGCAUGACACCUUCUUCUGCAGAACAACAACUCAAAUAUGAAAACGAACGGUUAAAGCUGGCUCUUGCUCAAA